rnacentral:rRNA from 1 species
AUGCAUGAUCAGGUCGGCGUGGACCUGGAUGGCUUCCCGCUCGACCACGAGUUUCUAGAGGACUACGGUCUCGAGGAAGAGGAUGAGUUGGACAUCGAAGGGGAGCCUUUGUUCGAGGACGAGCUCGCCAACCAAGCCGCCGGGGGAAAGCCGAAGCGCAAGAGUAGGCGGACCAAGGCAGCCGAGGACAAGCUUCUUUGUUAGUGUUGGAGGGACAUUGGGCAAGACCCCAGGACUGGCGCCGAACAAAAGGCAUCAACCUUUUGGACUCGUAUCCAUCGUGAGUUCCAUGAGUGCAAGAAGUUUCCACCAUACCAAAUGCAAAGCAUGCGCGCAUGGGUGUCCAUUUCGAAGCGUUGGAAGGUGAUCCAACAAGAGUGCAACAAGUUUUGUGCCACUCUUGAGAGCGUCAAGGCACGCCCCGUGAGCGGCAUGCAAGAUAUGGUAUGCUGGCAAGCGGCCCUCUUUUGUGACAUUCCGUUUAUGCUUGCAUGUCCAUUUCCAUAUCCAUUUGCCAAUAUGCUUGCAUGCAAUUAG